rnacentral:rRNA from 1 species
UACGUAGGUGGCAAGCGUUAUCCGGAAUUAUUGGGCGUAAAGCGCGCGCAGGUGGUUUCUUAAGUCUGAUGUGAAAGCCCACGGCUCAACCGUGGAGGGUCAUUGGAAACUGGGAGACUUGAGUGCAGAAGAGGAAAGUGGAAUUCCAUGUGUAGCGGUGAAAUGCGUAGAGAUAUGGAGGAACACCAGUGGCGAAGGCGACUCACUGGCCCGAUACUGACGCUGAGGCGCGAAAGCGUGGGGAGCAAACAGG